rnacentral:rRNA from 1 species
AUACGUAGGACCCGAGCGUUGUCCGGAUUUACUGGGUAUAAAGGGUGCGUAGGCGGCCCGGUAAGUCUGGAGUGAAAGUCCUGCUUUCAAGGUGGGAAUUGCUUUGGAUACUGCCGCGCUUGAGUGCAGGAGAGGUUAUCGGAAUUCCCGGUGUAGCGGUGAAAUGCGUAGAGAUCGGGAGGAACACCAGUGGCGAAGGCGGGUAACUGGACUGCAACUGACGCUGAGGCGCGAAAGUGUGGGGAGCAAACAGGAUUAGAUACCCUGGUAGUCCACACUGUAAACGAUGAAUGCUAGGUGUAAGAGGUAUCGACCCCUUUUGUGCCGGAGUCAACACAAUAAGCAUUCCGCCUGGGGAGUACGGCCGCAAGGUUGAAACUCAAAGGAAUUGACGGGG